CACAACCCAUUCUCACUCCAAAGGCGUCAAAAACCGAAGCAUGGUCAAGCGCCCCUAGCGUCACUUUUGUGACGCCAAAUGUGCCUCUCGGCGUCGAAUAUCGAAGCACUACGACCUUCAUUGCUUUCAGUGGGAAACUUUUGGCGUCAGAAUUCGACACGACGAGGACAUGAGAUGUUUGUCGCUAUGAAAUCACGUUCAAGAAGUCUCAUUCAGCACACAUCGCGAUACUUGCUAUCAGUUCCACAGUUUGGGUGAGUAGUCGUAUAUACGCUCUUUUAAUGCCUUUUAUAAAUGUAUUCUGUCUUAUUUAUUAAUCAGAUUAGUGCCAUAUGUUUAAUGGCUGUAUCAUAUCGGUCAUCCGCGGCUGUCUUUGAGUUUCAUUGCGUUUAAAUAAAUGAACACAGCUGCUAAUUAGUGUGAUUAAACUAUAUUUGCCACGUGACGUGCCAUAGACCUUCAAUCCGUUUUAUAUUAUUAUUAAUUUCAGGAUCAAUGAUGUAAGUUGUAUUUGUAGUAAAAUCAUGGUAAUCACGACUCUUACAAUAGGAAUAAAUGAAAUGUGAAGUUAAAACACAGUAAACAGGACAUUAGUAACUGUAACUGUAGUUUUACUAUGGUAUAUUAAUAAUCAAUACAACAAUACAAUAAUCACCAAACCAGCUGUUUGUAUCACUGUAAUGUUAGUGUUUUUAUGUGCUUUUAUAUGACAGAUAUCACAGUAAUCAUAUGUUCUGUACCAUGCUUUUAAUACCUUUUAAUGUAAAUCCAAAAAAAAAAAAAAAAAAAUCAAAUUAAAAAUAAAUAAUAAAACAUGCAUUUUUCCAUUUUGCAGUUCAUAUCAGUUUAUAUUUAAAUAUAUAUUUAUAUAUAUUUAUUAUAUCUAAAUAUUUUGCUCACAGAUCAUUAUUAACAUUCUGUAUAUAAUUCAAUUUUAUUUUCUCUCCCCUUUUUUUUUUUUUUUGUAUAUUUUUAGCUGAAAAGACGUAAAGGAAGCCCAGUGGUGUUUCUGGAGAGGGAUUCCUUCAGAAAUGGAGAAGACAGAAAGCUGCGGAGGCAGAUAUUUGCAGCAGUCUAAAAUAUCAAGCUCAACAUCUCACUCAAGAGCCAACCCUCACAAACCUUCCUAAAAACUAAAAGAGCUAUUACUGAGUCUCAGCGAAUCUUGCCAUGAUCACCUCUUCCCAGAAGAGAAGGAAGACCAAGGAAAUGAUUUGCUCAGGAUGAGGAAUGAAGACAGCCAUCUUGUGCUCAAACAAACAGAAGUCCUCUGAUGAUCUCAUCAGCCAAAUGAGGGGUUUUGACCAAGUGAUGCUCUUGAAAGGACUGAAAGAAGAGGAUGUGGUAAAUUGUCUUCAGAGAAAAAGCUUCUCAAAAGGUCUUAAAGCAGCUUGAAGAAUGGUCUGGGAUCUUAGGACUGAGAGAUCCUCUGGCUGAGGACAAGCUACACCACAUCAGUGCUGGAUAUCAACCACAAACUGUUUCCAGACACGAGAGAAGAAGAUCACGAUGGGGAGAUGAGACCAGUUUAGAUGUGAUGAUGGGAAUCAUUAUUUUCUGGAACAGUAUCAAAUGUCUUAUAUGUAUCACAUGAUCUGUAUCACAGUUGACUGGAUGGGACUGUGUGACUUUUAAGGACAUUUCAUCACUCAUCUGUGUGAACUGAUUUAUAUAUGAGGUUAAUGUAUUUUUGAUGAUAAUUAUUUUCAUUGAAUCUUAUUUGUCUUGAUGCUACUUUAUCAACUUUAUAGUCUAUGCUUCAAUAAAAUGAAAAUGGUGAAUAUUGUGUUCUGAAGAUUCUUGGUAAAUACAUAAUUUUACUAGGUAGGCUCAUAUGUGUUUAUUUUAGACUUGGAAAAACGACAUAUUAAUUAUUGGGAUUAUUUUUUAUUUAAGACAUAAACAUUUUUGAUCGGAUUAAUAACAUCUGGGACAUCAGUACACCAGAAAGUAAUUUUUUUAUAUUUUAGUAACAAAUAUGCAAUUUUUUUGUGAAAUAAAGGGAGUUACGAGAUUAAUUAUUCUGCAUUACAAGAUGGUGCCAUGGGCUUUAUUGUUACAAACAC